AGUGUUACGCCGGAAUGAACGGAAAUCAUUGAUGUUGAUUAAUAUGGAGCUAUGGCUUCUGGCACUA
rnacentral:tRNA from 1 species